CCGUGGAAGUCUGGAUAGAGAUCGCUUAUUGUAGAAGCUUGGAUGGAGACCGAUUGUCAUGGAAGCCUGGAUGGAGACCGCUUAUUGUAGAAGCUCGACUGAAGUCCGCUUGCAAUAAAAGUUCGGACGGAAUUCGCUUACUGUAGAAGCUCGGAUGAAAUUCGGAAGGCAGUCGACCACUGUAAAAACUUGGAUGGAGUCUGGUUACUGUAGAAGUCAUACUGCUGGAGAAGCUCGGACAUUGAUGAAGUCCAAAAGAACCUCGGAGUAAAGUCGAUCGUGAUGGAAGAAAAUCUGGAAGAGAUUCAGAGAGUAGUCGAUCACUGUAGAAAAUCGACUGAUAAUGAAGCCCAGAGAGCAUUUGGAGCAGUCCGAUAGACGACUGAAAGAGCUCAUUAUUGGAGAAGUCUGAAGGGUACGAUAGGAGUUCGUCCGUCGGAGGAAUCUGGAGGACAUUGUGGAAUGUCGACUGCUGGAGGAGUCCGAAUGGUACUGUGGAAGCUCGGACAGUCGGAGGAGUUUAGAAAGAUGUCGCACAAGGUCGAA
rnacentral:lncRNA from 1 species